rnacentral:rRNA from 1 species
GUGUGAUUCGUCACACUAUCAUUAACUGAAUCCAUAGGUUAAUGAGGCGAACCGGGGGAACUGAAACAUCUAAGUACCCCGAGGAAAAGAAAUCAACCGAGAUUCCCCCAGUAGCGGCGAGCGAACGGGGAGCAGCCCAGAGCCUGAAUCAGUGUGUGUGUUAGUGGAAGCGUCUGGAAAGGCGUGCGAUACAGGGUGACAGCCCCGUACACAAAAAUGCACAUACUGUGAGCUCGAUGAGUAGGGCGGGACACGUGGUAUCCUGUCUGAAUAUGGGGGGACCAUCCUCCAAGGCUAAAUACUCCUGACUGACCGAUAGUGAACCAGUACCGUGAGGGAAAGGCGAAAAGAACCCCGGCGAGGGGAGUGAAAAAGAACCUGAAACCGUGUACGUACAAGCAGUGGGAGCACGCUUAGGCGUGUGACUGCGUACCUUUUGUAUAAUGGGUCAGCGACUUAUAUUCUGUAGCAAGGUUAACCGAAUAGGGGAGCCGAAGGGAAACCGAGUCUUAACUGGGCGUUAAGUUGCAGGGUAUAGACCCGAAACCCGGUGAUCUAGCCAUGGGCAGGUUGAAGGUUGGGUAACACUAACUGGAGGACCGAACCGACUAAUGUUGAAAAAUUAGCGGAUGACUUGUGGCUGGGGGUGAAAGGCCAAUCAAACCGGGAGAUAGCUGGUUCUCCCCGAAAGCUAUUUAGGUAGCGCCUCGUGAAUUCAUCUCCGGGGGUAGAGCACUGUUUCGGCAAGGGGGUCAUCCCGACUUACCAACCCGAUGCAAACUGCGAAUACCGGAGAAUGUUAUCACGGGAGACACACGGCGGGUGCUAACGUCCGUCGUGAAGAGGGAAACAACCCAGACCGCCAGCUAAGGUCCCAAAGUCAUGGUUAAGUGGGAAACGAUGUGGGAAGGCCCAGACAGCCAGGAUGUUGGCUUAGAAGCAGCCAUCAUUUAAAGAAAGCGUAAUAGCUCACUGGUCGAGUCGGCCUGCGCGGAAGAUGUAACGGGGCUAAACCAUGCACCGAAGCUGCGGCAGCGACGCUUAUGCGUUGUUGGGUAGGGGAGCGUUCUGUAAGCCUGUGAAGGUGUGCUGUGAGGUAUGCUGGAGGUAUCAGAAGUGCGAAUGCUGACAUAAGUAACGAUAAAGCGGGUGAAAAGCCCGCUCGCCGGAAGACCAAGGGUUCCUGUCCAACGUUAAUCGGGGCAGGGUGAGUCGACCCCUAAGGCGAGGCCGAAAGGCGUAGUCGAUGGGAAACAGGUUAAUAUUCCUGUACUUGGUGUUACUGCGAAGGGGGGACGGAGAAGGCUAUGUUGGCCGGGCGACGGUUGUCCCGGUUUAAGCGUGUAGGCUGGUUUUCCAGGCAAAUCCGGAAAAUCAAGGCCGAGGCGUGAUGACGAGGCACUACGGUGCUGAAGCAACAAAUGCCCUGCUUCCAGGAAAAGCCUCUAAGCAUCAGGUAACAUCAAAUCGUACCCCAAACCGACACAGGUGGUCAGGUAGAGAAUACCAAGGCGCUUGAGAGAACUCGGGUGAAGGAACUAGGCAAAAUGGUGCCGUAACUUCGGGAGAAGGCACGCUGAUACGUAGGUGAAGCGACUUGCUCGUGGAGCUGAAAUCAGUCGAAGAUACCAGCUGGCUGCAACUGUUUAUUAAAAACACAGCACUGUGCAAACACGAAAGUGGACGUAUACGGUGUGACGCCUGCCCGGUGCCGGAAGGUUAAUUGAUGGGGUUAGCGCAAGCGAAGCUCUUGAUCGAAGCCCCGGUAAACGGCGGCCGUAACUAUAACGGUCCUAAGGUAGCGAAAUUCCUUGUCGGGUAAGUUCCGACCUGCACGAAUGGCGUAAUGAUGGCCAGGCUGUCUCCACCCGAGACUCAGUGAAAUUGAACUCGCUGUGAAGAUGCAGUGUACCCGCGGCAAGACGGAAAGACCCCGUGAACCUUUACUAUAGCUUGACACUGAACAUUGAGCCUUGAUGUGUAGGAUAGGUGGGAGGCUUUGAAGUGUGGACGCCAGUCUGCAUGGAGCCGACCUUGAAAUACCACCCUUUAAUGUUUGAUGUUCUAACGUGGACCCGUGAUCCGGGUUGCGGACAGUGUCUGGUGGGUAGUUUGACUGGGGCGGUCUCCUCCUAAAGAGUAACGGAGGAGCACGAAGGUUGGCUAAUCCUGGUCGGACAUCAGGAGGUUAGUGCAAUGGCAUAAGCCAGCUUGACUGCGAGCGUGACGGCGCGAGCAGGUGCGAAAGCAGGUCAUAGUGAUCCGGUGGUUCUGAAUGGAAGGGCCAUCGCUCAACGGAUAAAAGGUACUCCGGGGAUAACAGGCUGAUACCGCCCAAGAGUUCAUAUCGACGGCGGUGUUUGGCACCUCGAUGUCGGCUCAUCACAUCCUGGGGCUGAAGUAGGUCCCAAGGGUAUGGCUGUUCGCCAUUUAAAGUGGUACGCGAGCUGGGUUUAGAACGUCGUGAGACAGUUCGGUCCCUAUCUGCCGUGGGCGCUGGAGAACUGAGGGGGGCUGCUCCUAGUACGAGAGGACCGGAGUGGACGCAUCACUGGUGUUCGGGUUGUCAUGCCAAUGGCACUGCCCGGUAGCUAAAUGCGGAAGAGAUAAGUGCUGAAAGCAUCUAAGCACGAAACUUGCCCCGAGAUGAGUUCUCCCUGACCCUUUAAGGGUCCUGAAGGAACGUUGAAGACGACGACGUUGAUAGGCCGGGUGUGUAAGCGCAGCGAUGCGUUGAGCUAACCGGUACUAAUGAACCGUGAGGCUUAACCUUACAACGCCGAAG